CUGCGAAUGGCUCAUUAAAUCAGUUAUCGUUUAUUUGAUAGUACCUUACUACUUGGAUAACCGUGGUAAUUCUAGAGCUAAUACAUGCUAAAAACCCCGACUUCGGGAGGGGUGUAUUUAUUAGAUAAAAAACCAACGCCCUUCGGGGCUCCUUGGUGAAUCAUAAUAACUUAACGGAUCGCAUGGCCUUGCGCCGGCGACGGUUCAUUCAAAUUUCUGCCCUAUCAACUUUCGAUUGUAGGGUAUUGGCCUACAAUGGUAUCAACGGGUAACGGGGAAUUAGGGUUCGAUUCCGGAGAGGGAGCCUGAGAAACGGCUACCACAUCCAAGGAAGGCAGCAGGCGCGCAAAUUACCCAAUCCCGACACGGGGAGGUAGUGACAAUAAAUACUGAUACAGGGCUCUUUUGGGUCUUGUAAUUGGAAUGAGUACAAUUUAAAUCCCUUAACGAGGAACAAUUGGAGGGCAAGUCUGGUGCCAGCAGCCGCGGUAAUUCCAGCUCCAAUAGCGUAUAUUAAAGUUGUUGCAGUUAAAAAGCUCGUAGUUGAACCUUGGGUCUGGCUGGCCGGUCCGCCUCACCGCGUGCACUGGUCCGGCCGGACCUUUCCUUCUGGAGAACCGCAUGCCCUUCACUGGGUGUGCCGGGGAACCAGGACUUUUACUUUGAAAAAAUUAGAGUGUUCAAAGCAGGCCUUUGCUCGAAUACAUUAGCAUGGAAUAAUAGAAUAGGACGUGCGGUCCUAUUUUGUUGGUUUCUAGGACCGCCGUAAUGAUUAAUAGGGAUAGUCGGGGGCAUCAGUAUUCAAUUGUCAGAGGUGAAAUUCUUAGAUUUAUUGAAGACUAACUACUGCGAAAGCAUUUGCCAAGGAUGUUUUCAUUAAUCAGUGAACGAAAGUUAGGGGAUCGAAGACGAUCAGAUACCGUCGUAGUCUUAACCGUAAACUAUGCCGACUAGGGAUCGGGCGAUGUUAUUCUUUUGACUCGCUCGGCACCUUACGAGAAAUCAAAG
rnacentral:rRNA from 1 species